GACGAACGCUGGCGGCGUGCUUAACACAUGCAAGUCGAACGGAAAGGCCCUGCUUGCAGGGUACUCGAGUGGCGAACGGGUGAGUAACACGUGGGUGAUCUGCCCUGCACUUCGGGAUAAGCCUGGGAAACUGGGUCUAAUACCGGAUAGGAGCCAUUUUUAGUGUGAUGGUUGGAAAGUUUUUUCGGUGUAGGAUGAGCUCGCGGCCUAUCAGCUUGUUGGUGGGGUAAUGGCCUACCAAGGCGGCGACGGGUAGCCGGCCUGAGAGGGUGGACGGCCACAUUGGGACUGAGAUACGGCCCAGACUCCUACGGGAGGCAGCAAUGGGGAAUAUUGCACAAUGGGCGCAAGCCUGAUGCAGCGACGCCGCGUGGGGGAUGACGGCCUUCGGGUUGUAAACUCCUUUCGCUAGGGACGAAGCUUUUUGUGACGGUACCUAGAUAAGAAGCACCGGCUAACUACGUG
rnacentral:rRNA from 1 species